UAUUUGAUUUCUAAUUUGGUCUACCCAUAAUGUGAUGAGUAAAUAUUUUCAUUCAAGCACAAUAACAUAUUUUUGACCCUGUUUUUCAGAUGAGAAAAUAAGGAGCCUGAGAGGUGCCUACUCAGGAUCUUACAGCUUCUCAGGUGUGGAACUGGCUUUUCAGCUGAUGCAGCAUCCAUGAUUCCGACUACCUCGGAUGUGAACUUGAACCAUGUCUGACCUUUUGGAGAUUUCAUGAAAACAAGUUUUAUUGGCUUUCCUUUUGCUGUGGUUCUUCUCCAUCUCUUCUCGCUUGAUCUUCACAAAGUUUCUGGCCUCCGCUGUCUUCUUCAUGCUGAGGUUUCCUACAUCUCCUCCACACAGAUCUCUCCUAAAUGUUUGGUCAAGAAUCGGGCAAGUCAGCACAAUCUCUCUGAAGCCUGUCCUAUGUACCACAGCACUUCAUACAGUCCCCAGCUGCUUUCCUCUGCCACACUCCCCUGCCAUGAUGGCCCACCUUGCCUCAGGCCCAGAGCUAUAGAGUGGGCCAUCUGUGGCUGAGACCUCUCCUCUGAAAUCUUGAGCUGCCAAAUAAACUUAUCUUCCUCAAAAAUUUUUUCAUA